rnacentral:lncRNA from 1 species
AUGCACACGCACCGGCAUGAAAUCCAACUACUCAACUCGAAAGCUAGCGGUAGAAUCAACCCAAGCCACCCUUUCAUACACAAAGCAAUUAUUGGGGGACAUAAAAGGCAUGGGGUGCCGGAGCCUGCAGCGUACCUACGCAGUUUUCAAAGUGGACCGAGCUUGAAGCCAUUCCUUGUAUCCGUAUAUCCAGUGACCCAGUGUAGACCGUUCUACGGACAUUUCCUUGCCGUUUCUCGAGUGAUAUUUUGUUUUUGGCACAAUGGGGUGCUGCAGCGGCCGAUGCACGCUCAUCUUUCUCUGCUCGAUUCAGCUGGGUGCUUCACUCCUCUCAUUGCUAUCUGUCCCCCGAUGUCCCAGGGGUAUCUACUUGGCUGGCUGUGAGAUUCCUGAAGAUCUGUCUCUCUCCUCCCAGAAUGCUCUCUGCUUCCGACGUGACGGGGGGCUUCAGGGCUGUUGGUAACUGUCACCCCAGG